rnacentral:rRNA from 1 species
UCAAGCGAGAAAGGGUCCACGGAGGAUGCCUGGGAGCUGCGAGGCGAAGAAGGACGUGACAAGCUGCGAAAAGCUGCGGGGAGGGGCCAAUACCCGAAGAUCCGCGGAUCUCCGAAUGGGGUAACCCACAUGGUAAGAAUCAUGUAUCAUAAUAUGAAUAGAUAGUAUUAUGAGGCGAGACGCUGGGAAGUGAACCAUCUGAGUACCAGCAGGAAAAGAAAUCAAGAGAGAUUCCCCCAGUAGCGGCGAGCGAAGGGGGAGGAGCCCAAACCCGACUUUACGGAGUUGGGGGUUAUAGGGCCUCAGCGGGGCGAGACCCGUGCAGUUAACAAACCGAAAUGUAGCAGAAGGGAACUGGGAAGGCCCGCCAAAGAGAGUGAAAGCCUCGUAUGCGAAACAUUUAGGACUGCAUGGCUGGGGAACCUGAGUACGACGGGACACGAGGAAUCCAGUCGGAAUUAGGGGGGACCACCCUCCAAGGCUAAAUACUCUGCAGCUACCGAUAGCGCAUAGUACCGUGAGGGAAAGGUGAAAAGGACCCCGGGAGGGGAGUGAAAGAGAACCUGAAACCGUGGACUUACAAGCGGUCAGAGCCUCUGAAGGGGGGUGAUGGCGUGCCUUUUGUAGAAUGAGCCUGCGAGUUACCGUAUUUGGCGAGGUUAAGGGCCUGGAGGUCCGGAGCCGAAGGGAAACCGAGUCCGAAACGGGCGAAGAGUCGAAUGCGGUAGACCCGAAACCAAGUGAUCUAGCCAUGGCCAGGCUGAAAGAGGAGUGAAAUCCUGUGGAGGGCCGAACCUAAAUCCGCUGAAAAGGGUUGGGAUGAGCUGUGGCUCGGAGUGAAAGGCUAACCAAACUUGGAGAUAGCUGGUACUCUCCGAAAUAGCUUUAGGGCUAGCGUCGAUGAAUAUGUAUGGGAGGUAGAGCACUGGAUAGGUGCGGGCCCUUCACCGGGUACCAAUCUUAACCAAACUCCGAAUGCCGAUACAGGAAUCACGGCAGUCAGACGGUAGCUGAUAAGGGCGAUCGUCAAAAGGGAAAGAGCCCAGACCGCCGGCUAAGGCCCCGAAGGUGUGCCAAGUGGGAAAGGAAGUAUGAUUGCAAAGACAGCCAGGAGGUUGGCUCAGAAGCAGCCACACCUUUAAAGAGUGCGUAACAGCUCACUGGUCGAGUAGUGAUGCGCCGAAAAUGUAACGGGGCUAAGCACACCGCCGAAGCCGCGGGAUUAUGCUGUUAGCAUAAUCGGUAGGAGAGCAUUGUAUGUACGGAAGAAGCAUGCUUGAGAAGGUAUGUGGACGGUAUACAAGAGAGAAUGCAGGCAUGAGUAACGAAAAGACGGGUGAGAUUCCCGUCCGCCGAAAGCCUAAGGUUUCCAGGGUAAAGGUAAUCUGCCCGAGGGUAAGUCGGCCCCUAAGGCGAGGGCGAAAGCCGUAGCCGAUGGGAAGCGGGUGAAUAUUCCCGCACCUUUGUAUGUCUCUUGAUGGGAUGACGCAUAGGGCGAAGCACAUCCGGGUGAUGGAAGUUCCCGGACGAAACAGCGAGCCGAAGAAGUCUCCAGGGAAAACCGGAGACGGAGGGAAGCUGCGAGCGAGCGAUGCCACGGCAAAGCGAAGUGUGUGUAGUCGUCGUGCCGAGAAAUAAUCUCUGGAGUACAGGCAUAUGAAGACCGUACCGUAAACCGACACAGGUAGGCGAGCUGAGUAUGCGCAGGCGCACGGAAGAAUCCGCGUUAAGGAACUCGGCAAAAUACAUACGUAACUUCGGGAGAAGUAUGGCCACCUAUAAGAGGGUGGUUGCAGAGAAAUGGCCCAUGCGACUGUUUACCAAAAACACAGGUCCAUGCGAACCGGCAACGGGAAGUAUAUGGACUGACACCUGCCCGGUGCUGGAAGGUCAAGGGGAGACGUUAGCGCAAGCGAAGCGUUGAACCCAAGCCCCAGUAAACGGCGGCCGUAACUAUAACGGUCCUAAGGUAGCGAAAUUCCUUGUCGGGUAAGUUCCGACCCGCACGAAUGGUGCAACGACAUGGGCGCUGUCUCAACGUGGAAUCCGGUGAAAUUGAAGUCUGGGUGAAGAUGCCCAGUACCCGUGGUCAGACGGGAAGACCCCGUGAACCUUUACUUCAACUUGGCAUUGGGAAGUGGUCAGGGAUGUGUAGCAUAGGUGGGAGGCGAAGAAGUGUGGGCGUCAGCCUGCGUGGAGCCACAGGUGAAAUACCACCCUUGCCUGUCUACUUUCCUAAGGGGAUCCGUGAUCCGGAUUUCCGACAUUGCCAGGCGGGAAGUUUGACUGGGGCGGUCGCCUCCAAAAUGGUAACGGAGGCGCGCGAAGGUCACCUUGGGAUGGUUGGGAAUCAUCCUGCAAGCGCAAAGGCACAAGGUGGCUUGACUGCGAGGCCGACAAGCCGAGCAGGUACGAAAGUAGGUCUUAGUGAUCUGGCGGUAGCGAGUGGAAGCGCCGUCACUUAACGGAUAAAAGGUACUCCGGGGAUAACAGGCUUAUCUUGCCCAAGAGUUCAUAUCGACGGCAAGGUUUGGCACCUCGAUGUCGGCUCAUCACAUCCUGGGGCUGGAGCAGGUCCCAAGGGUUUGGCUGUUCGCCAAUUAAAGUGGUACGUGAGCUGGGUUCAGAACGUCGUGAGACAGUUCGGUCCCUAUCUGCCAUGGGCGUUUGGAUGAUUGAGGAGCUCUGCCUCCAGUACGAGAGGACCGAGGUGGACGAACCUCUGGUGUACCAGUUGUCGCGCCAGCGGCACGUGCUGGGUAGCCACGUUCGGCAGGGAUAACCGCUGAAAGCAUCUAAGCGGGAAGCCCGUUCCAAGAUGAGUCAUCCCACUCUCUAUGUUUAGAGAGCGUAAGGAAACAGAGAGACGAUCUGUUCGAUAGGCCGGGGGUGUACGUAUAGCAAUAUAUUCAGCCCACCGGUACUAAUCAUCCGAGAGGCUUGACCAU